rnacentral:rRNA from 1 species
UACGAGGGGGGCAAGCGUUGUUCGGAAUUACUGGGCGUAAAGCGUGCGUAGGCGGUUCGUUAUGUCUGCUGUGAAAGCCCCGGGCUUAACCUGGGAAUGGCAGUGGAAACUGGCGGGCUUGAGUGUGGCAGAGGGGGGUGGAAUUCCGCGUGUAGCAGUGAAAUGCGUAGAGAUGUGGAGGAACACCGAUGGCGAAGGCAGCCCCCUGGGUCAAGAUUGACGCUCAUGCACGAAAGCGUGGGGAGCAAACAGG